AAUUAAGAAUGAGCGUUGAUUCAUUUAGAAAAUGUAACGGCAUGACAAUACGCGUUCACGUGCAUUAAUUAUCUCUCCUACUUCACUUUCAUUGUUUCACAUCACUUCACCUGUCAUAUUCCCAUAGAACAUACUCAUCAUCAAUUCUUAGAUAGAUAGAACAAGUGAGAGACAUCAAAGAACAAAGCUAUGGACCCUCCUCAAACACAAUCCAUUGAUAUUUCAAACCCAGCUGGAGAUGAUUUACAAGACAAAAUCAUCAACGAUUGUUGUUCUUGCUGUUAUGACUGUACACAAGGUUUCUUUGACUUCUUGUGUUGCAGCUUCUGGUGAAUUCUUUGAAUUAGAUUUCAAUUUCAAGUAUUAUUAGCAACAAUAUACUAUUACAGUCAAUUAUGUAAUGGGGGUUUCUUCUAUUUCCUCAACCAUUUCUCUAUUAAUUAGUUUAUUAUAUAAAGUUGUGGUUUUAGUUAUUGAGACUUGUAGAACAUUAUGUUUUUCCUUUAUUUUUGGGUCCCUUUCCAAACUCUGUUGUCAGUGUUGUGUUGUGUACAGUUACGGAGGAUCCUGUUGCUAUUCUAUAGUAAGGCCGGCGGGCUGCAUGUUUGGUAAAAUUAUGUGAUAUCAAACAUUCACUUCCUCUUUUA